rnacentral:rRNA from 7 species
GCGACCCCAGGUCAGGCGGGACACC